rnacentral:rRNA from 1 species
CCUACGGGAGGCAGCAGUGGGGAAUAUUGCGCAAUGGUCGAAAGCCUGACCCAGCGACGCCGCGUGAAGGAUGAAGGUCUUCGGAGCGGAAACCUCUUUCAGCAGGGAAGAACAGUCACUGUGCUAAUCAGCCUUGAAUUGACCGUACCUGCAAGGGAAGCACCAGCUAACGCCGGGCCAGCAGCCGCGGUAAUACGGAGGGUGCUUGCGUUAAUCGGUAUUACUGGGCGUAAGGCGCGCGUAGGCUGUAUGUGAAGUCCAGGGUGAAAUCCCCGGGCUCAACGUGGGAACUGCCUUUGAAACUGGCAAGCUGGAGUGUGUGAGAGGAUAGUGGAAUUCCAGGUGUAGGAGUGAAAUGCGUAGAUAGCUGGAGGAACAUCAGUGGCGAAGGCGACUAUCUGGCACAUCACUGACGCUGAGGAGCGAAAGCGUGGGUAGCAAACAGGAUUAGAUACCCUGGUAGUC